AUACCCCUAGUAACGGCGAGUGAAGCGGGUGAAGCCCAACCUGAAUCUGCACUUUAAAGUGCCGAGUUGUGGGUUAGAGACUUCGGUAUUAUCUGCCGGGCUAAGUUCCUUGGAACAGGACAGCUUAGAGGGUGAGACUCCCGUAUGCCUGGUUGAGUGAAUCGUUGUCUAUGAGUCGAGUUGUUUGGGAUUGCAGCUCUAAGUGGGUGGUAAAUUCCAUCUAAGGCUAAAUAUUGGUGGGAAACCGAUAGCGUACAAGUACCGUGAGGGAAAGAUGCAAAGAACUUUGAAAAGAGAGUUAAAGAGUACCUGAAACCGCUGACAAGGAAGCGAAGGAAACCAGUGUAAGUCCUUUUCAUAUUUCCCUGGCCACUUGUGGUCUGGGCGCUGUGGAGGGGCGGUGUUUGAUUUGGUUGGCUCCAGUGGAAGAGCUUGGUUGGCCUCGGCCUUCCUGUGCUAGCGCUGGUGUUGACUCGGUUAGACGAAAUGGUUUUCUUCACCCCGUCUUGAAACACGGACCAAGGAGUCUAACAUGUGCGCGAGUUCAGGGGUGACAAACCCCCGAGCGUAAUGAAAGUAACAGUGGUCGGACCUUUGGGCACGAUCCGCCGGCCUCAAUCCUUCGGGAGAACGGUCUGAGUGUGAGCGUAUAUGUUGGGACCCGAAAGAUGGUGAACUAUGCCUGAAUAGGAUGAAGCCA
rnacentral:rRNA from 1 species